rnacentral:tRNA from 1 species
UGGAAAGAAGCUCUUAGUAGCAUUUAGCUGUUAACUAAAAAGGAAUAAAUUAUUUUAUCUAUCCA